CCUACGGGAGGCUGCAGUAGCGAAUUUUCGGCAAUGGGGGGAACCCUGACCGAGCAGCGCCGCGUUAACGAAGAAGUUAUUCGUAAUGUAAAGUUCUUUUAACAGGGAAGAAAGAGAAAUUUGACGGUACCUGAAGAAUAAGCUCCGGCUAACUACGUGCCAGCAGCCGCUGUAAUACGUAGGGAGCGAGCGUUAUCGGGAAUUAUUGGGCGUAAAGGGUGCGUAGAUGGCAUAGUAAGUCUUUUGUAAAAAGGCUGGGCUCAACCCAGUAGGGCAAAAGAUACUGCAAAGCUAGAGUAUGACAGAGGCAAGUGGAACUACAUGGGUAGCGGUAAAAUGCGUAAAUAUAUGUAAGAACACCAGGGGCGAAGGCGGCUUGCUGGGUCGAUACUGACAUUGAGGCACGAAAGCGUGGGGAGCAAACAGGAGUAGAUACCCCUGUAGUC
rnacentral:rRNA from 1 species